rnacentral:rRNA from 1 species
UGCAAGUCGCGCGAGAAUUGGGGCUUCGGCUCCAUAGUAAAGCGGCGGACGGGUGCGUAACACGUGGGUAAUGUGCCCUUCAGCGGGGGAUAACAGUCCGAAAGGAUUGCUAAUACCGCAUACGUCGGCGAGGUCCUCGGGCCUUGUCGGGAAAGGUGGCCUCUCCAUGGAAGCUACCACUGAAGGAGCAGCCCGCGGCCCAUCAGCUAGUUGGCGGGGUAAUGGCCCACCAAGGCAAAGACGGGUAGCUGGUCUGAGAGGAUGAUCAGCCACACUGGAACUGAGACACGGUCCAGACUCCUACGGGAGGCAGCAGUGGGGAAUAUUGGGCAAUGGGCGAAAGCCUGACCCAGCCAUGCCGCGUGAGUGAUGAAGGCCUUCGGGUCGUAAAGCUCUGUGGGGAGGGACGAACAAGUCAGGCGCUAAUACCGCCGGGCCUUGACGGUACCUCCUUAGCAAGCACCGGCUAACUCCGUGCCAGCAGCCGCGGUAAUACGGAGGGUGCAAACGUUGCUCGGAAUCAUUGGGCGUAAAGCGCACGUAGGCGGCUUGUUAAGUCGGAUGUGAAAGCCCUGGGCUCAACCCAGGAAGUGCAUUCGAUACUGGCAAGCUUGAAUAUGGAAGAGGGUCGCGGAAUUCCCGGUGUAGAGGUGAAAUUCGUA